rnacentral:rRNA from 1 species
UUAAGUUCCCCCCUCCUUUGUACACACCGCCCGUCGCUACUACCGAUUGAAUGGCUCAGUGAGGCUUUCGGAUUGACUCAGAGAGGUGGGCAACUACCACUCAGAGUCGAAAAGUUAUCCAAACUCGGUCAUUUAGAGGAAGUAAAAGUCGUAACAAGGUCUCCGUUGGUGAACCAGCGGAGGGAUCAUUA